CUCGUAGGCGGUUUGUUGCGUCUGCUGUGAAAACGCGGGGCUUAACUCCGCGCGUGCAGUGGGUACGGGCAGGCUAGAGUGCGGUAGGGGAGAUUGGAAUUCCUGGUGUAGCGGUGGAAUGCGCAGAUAUCAGGAGGAACACCGAUGGCGAAGGCAGAUCUCUGGGCCGUUACUGACGCUGAGGAGCGAAAGCGAUGGGGAGCGAACA
rnacentral:rRNA from 1 species